UACAGAGGUGGCAAGCGUUGUUCGGAAUUACUGGGCGUAAAGGGCGCGUAGGCGGUCUUGUAAGUCUCGUGUGAAAUCCCUCGGCUUAACUGAGGAACUGCACGGGAUACUGCAUGACUUGAGAUCGGGAGAGGGAAGCGGAAUUCCGGGUGUAGCGGUGAAAUGCGUAGAUAUCCGGAGGAACACCGGUGGCGAAGGCGGCUUCCUGGACCGAUACUGACGCUGAGGAGCGAAAGCCAGGGGAGCAAACGGG
rnacentral:rRNA from 1 species